UGACAAUCUAGAAUGGUGUGACAUGGUGACAACCAAUCCAUGAUUAAGGUUACAUCAAAAUCAAAAAUAGCUAAUAAGUGAAAGAUCAGCUGUCAUAUAUAAUCCCCCAAUAGUCACCACACAUGAAUGAUACACACUGUCCACAAUAAUAGAAUCACCCACCGAUUUAACAUGAACAUGCAUAAAUAAGGAACUACGGGGCAUAUCCAAAUAACGACGAAAGUAUGAUGAUACAUAUGGAUAAGUGGAACCAGGAUCAAACAAUUUUGAAGCAUCCUUGUGGCAUACUAG
rnacentral:lncRNA from 1 species